AAAUAAGAAGACAAAAAAAUGGAUGUGGUGAAAUCAGAACUUGAGAAUGAGAAAUGAAAAAAAAAGGACCUGUCAGACAACCGUGCAACCACCCUAACCGUGGUCAAGCACAAGCUAGGUAACGAUCCUCUACAGCACGGAGAGUACGAAGACAAACCUAGCCGUUAAUCACGCUCAGAUUACACGGUAUUGAAUCAUCAACCAGGGUUCAGGGACUGUCUCCUUAGAAAUCAAGGAUACAGAGGUACUUCCUAUAGAACAGAUCCUGUUCAAGUAAGGUCGUGACCUCGUAUGCUUUCUACAGAUAUAUAAACAAGCCAUAUGUUCUCUGGUUUAACGAUGUGGGACGUUGUUUUCCACUUGCUAACCACAUCUAUCACACGCGUGAUUAGUUUGUUUAGAAAAAUGUGUAACGGCACAGAGACCUUUACUUGAACCUUUCUUUUGGUCAACUGAUAAAACCGUGCGGUUCUAUAACAUCGCUAGUACUCUCCUGGCAAGGACUUUGUCUGAUGGUUUAAAGGAUUCACUACAUAACCUUAAAUAUAAGGUUCUGAAGCAGCCGCGGCUAAGUUGGGUUAGAAGCCUAAAACCAGAUUUCCAGAGUAUAAUAGUUAACUCUUUUCAUAUUUCAUUUCAAAAUUAUAUUUCUACUUUGCGAAAAUAUUUUAUUUCUACUUUAUUCGAAGAAAUUAUC